UAGCCAUUCUUACUGGUGUGAGGCAG
rnacentral:misc_RNA from 1 species